rnacentral:lncRNA from 1 species
UUCCAUUGCCAAUACCCACAGAAACCUCUUCUCCUUCUUAUCCUCAUCUUCCCAGUAGAAAGAUUCUCAGCCUUCAUUUGCUUCUUCUCUACCUAUACAUCAUCCUUUAUAGUUACAAAUAUUUUCUUUGCUCAUACAAAUACACAACCAGUUCUCAAAAUCCGUGUCUGUCUUCAUCAUUUCUUCUAUUUCUCUCUUGUUUUAUGUACUGUUUUUUUUAUGCUGAACACAUCUUUUUCUUGAUGUUUGAGAAUAGCAAGUGUUCAUGACUCCUGUACUCAGUGAAAUCCUCCUUUCUGGUUUUACGAUAAACUCCACUCUUAGGCGCGGGACUCACCUUGUUCAAUCCUUCUCUGUUGUCUUCCUCUACUGGUUCUAUGUUUUCUCAUGAACUCGAUUAGCCCCUCUGAAACGCCAUAGAGCCAUCAUCUUUAAUUAUCAUCUUGAAAUAAUCAUUUUCUUGGUCCCGUGCGUUCUCUUUUAUUAAGCAUAGUCCAGGGUUAAUUACAGCUUGGGUUUAUUUUUGUUCUUGUUCAUAUAUUAUUGUUGUUGUCAGUACUAUAUUUAUUUGUUAAGGGAAAAAUAUUAUGGCCUCUUCUAGCGGGGCAUCUUCAGGGUCAACAACCAUGUUGAGGAACUCAAGUUCUGAAGAGGAUCUGCAGCAAGUUAUGGACCUAAGGAAGCGGAAAAGGAUGCUGUCUAAUAGAGAAUCUGCAAGAAGAUCCAGAGUGAAGAAACAGAAACACCUGGAUGAUCUCACGGGACAGCUUGGUCAACUCAGCAAAGAAAAUAACGAGAUUCUGAAAAGGAUGAAUGUUACCUCUCAGCUUUACAUGAAUAUCGAAGCUGAGAACUCUAUCCUCAGAGCUCAAAUGGCUGAGCUGAGCCACAGAUUGAAUUCUCUCAAUGAAAUCAUUGAAUACGUCAACUUUUGCAGUGGCCCUUUUGAACGCCAUGAGGAUGCUGCUGCCCCCACUGCUAGUGCUUUUGGUCAUCAGCUCGGUGAUGAUUUCUUCAUGAAUCCAUGGAAUAAUGCUGAUUUCCAUUUGAAUCAACCUACCAUGGACAUGAUCAUGUACUAAAAUUAUUAUGUGUGGGAAUUGGUUGUGAUUGAUGCUGUUGGUGGUGUCUCCUGUAGUUUUGAUCUUCUUCUUUUUUCGGUGUGUUCGUGAUAGUUAUGAUGAAUAAAAAAAAUGUACAGGUUCUAGCAGGGUAUAAUUUUGAAGAUUGUGACUGAUUAUGGUGAAUUAAUUAUGUAAUGAGCAGUGAUAUAACUUUAUAUUGGUUGUUCUUUGUAAAUGGCACAGCCAUUUGUGAUUGAUAAUGCUUUUUAAGUGAUUUUUAAUUGAAAAUAUAUUUAAAUAUUUUUUUAAUUUUAUUAUUAGUACAUUAAAAUUAUUAAAAGAACAUUUAAUAAAUAUUAAUUUGAUAAUUUUUCAGACUAAAAACUCUUUAAAAAAUCCAGUUUUACAGCCAAAGUGUUGUACUAUUUAUGGCUUUUUUCUUAAUUAUUUAGAUUAGAAAGAAAUUUAGUAAAUUUAUUUGAAUAUAUCAAUUUGAUGUUAAAGGCACACUUUUAAAAUCUAUAAAAAAAUGAUUCAAUUUUUUUUUAUCAUCAAAUAAAAAAACAUUUUAUCAUGAUUUUUGCAAUUUUGUUUCCUUUUCUUCCCUGGAUCUCAGACAUUUAAGCAAUUUUAUACAUUCCAACAAUAAUUUGUUGUCUUUAACAAUGUAGGCCAAAAAAAGCUAUGUUCCAUGGAAAUGAUGACCUUCACCAAUCUACUUUCACAAGAUAUGUAUAUUUUAUUUUCUCACUGAGGCUCUAAUCUUGCAUCUUUUUGAAUUAUUGGACAUAAUUGUUAACUUCCUAGACUAGAAAAAAUGUCUACACAUCUCAUGCUUUUCUGAAUCAUGCCCCAUCACUACUCUCCGUUAAAAAUUCCCACAUUUUUGGAUUUUUUUGUGUGAAAUUAAUGAUUUUAAUGUAUUAAUAAAAAACCUGAAUAUAAUUAUAAUGAAGGUUACGAUGAAAAAAAUAUACAUGUUGUUAUAAAACGUAUCAAUACAAAGAGAUUGUUGGGGUGAAUAAAUGGAGCUGCUCAUAGUUAGACAGAUUGUAUGUACUUCGUAUCUUGUGGUAAUUUUUUUUUUAUAUAGAUUUCCUACAAAUUUUACUUGUGAAUUAGUUAAUCCAUGAAUAUAUAUAUAUAUAUAUAUAUAUAUAUAUAUAUAUAAAGAAAUAUAAGUUGAGAGGAUUGAUAUGAUAUUCGUGAAGGAAUACUAGAUUAUUGGCAUCUAUAUGAGAAUACCAGAGUAAUUAAUAAUCAAAAUUGUUAACUAUUAACUAUAAAUCUAAAAUGCAUAAGGAAUUUAUUGUGCAAAAUACAUUGUGGAUCCACUAUUUGUCUAUGCUCUUAUUGAAACAAAUUAUAAAAAGGGCAUAGACAUAAUUCACAUGUCGUGCUCCAAAACAAAAUGCUUCAGUUUUAAAAAUAUAAAAUAGAUUCCUUCUCAAAUGGUCAAUCAGAAACAUAGAUUUAUAAUGUACGUACCGUUUUUUGUCCCUCUGAAUCUUAUGGUGUUUCAAGAGCUAGGAGGCUUGGGCAAUUCAUUGAUUCAAGUCACUUUUUUCUUCCCACCACAUGAUCCGUAGAACAGCUUCAUGCUGGAUUCAUGUGUUAUUAUUCUAUCAAGUAAAGUGGAUAAUAGUUAAUCACGAUCAAUUAGGCAUACAGCUGGUAUUAGCAGAAGUAAUCUUUAUUUAAUUUAUUAAGUAUUAAGAUUAAGAUUAAGGGGUGUCCACUAGGGCAUGCCUUAACAAAAGGCAUUUGAUCCCUUGUAAGAAAUAUUACCCAAAGUCACGGUCUGUUUGGAAAAGAGUUGCCUCUUUUUUUGUCAUGGUUGUGGCGUUUAAAGAGUUAUAAAUUGUAGUUUUUGAAAAUAAUAUAUAAAAAAACUCUGAUAAUAACUUUUAAAAUAUCAUCAAACACUUAAAAAAUCACAGCUAAUUAAUAGUAUUGCACUUAAUUUAAGUAAAUUAAUUCUUCUAAUUAAGCAUAUAUAUGUAGUAAUUACAGAUGAGGUUUAAGUGAAUUAAUGCUCAUCAUUUAGCUAUGUUCGUAAUCUACUUCUAACUAUAUUCAUCUCUUUUUUUUUCCCGAAAUAGUAACUAAAUAUUACUCGAUAAUUAUUAUAGUCAUUUUAACUUAAUUUAUCUUCUUUUUCUUUGCAAACACGAUAAAUAAUGCUAUGCAAAGUAAUCAUCAAUCUUGUAGCAUGUGCACUAUAGAGUUGGAGCAUGUCACAUGUAUGGUCUUUUUUUUUUUAAUCGCUUGACGUACGUAUUAAUUAUUUCAAUAAUAAUACGUUUUUAGCAUUACUUGCAUGAGGAGGCCACUAUAAACAAUAUUUUUUUAUAUUUAUUUUGGAUUUCAAGAAACUUCACUCUCUAGAAAACGUACUUUGUAGUUUUAGGUAAGCGAGUAAAAUCUCGGUUGUUCCAAGCUCUUAUAAAAAAUGUACAUCCUGACUCGAAUUCGAGAACUGCUAUACAAAUUUCAAGUCUUUUGCCAUUAUACCUCACUCCUUGAGGACACUUUAAACAAUACAUUGGUUUUAAUAAUAUAGUCAGACCAACCACACCCACUACAUUUUGUAUAAUACAAAAUGGAGUGGGGCAAGUUAGCUAGCAAUCAAUACUCAAAAGAUUUUCAAGGGAGAACAUGCAAUUGUUGUAGUAGUUGUAUUUUUAAGGUGUUUUUUUGUUUAAAAAUAUAUAAAAAUAAUAAUUUUUUAUUUUAAUCUUUUAAAAUUUAUUUUUGAGAUUUGAAAAAAAUUUCAAAAACGUUUUUUGAAAGUUAAAUUGCACAUAGCGUACUGCUAACAUAUAUACAAGAAGAUAGUGCCACCAGACUUCCUGCAACAUAAAUGGGUCACUGUAUAUUUUGGCAUAGUUGCAUGUAUGGAAAAGAGUUCGGAUUAUUUUUUGUGUGAUCUCCAUUGAAAGCAUACGAGUUCUUUUCAAGUGUGGGAGUGUUUAAAAAUAUGAUUAUGGUUGUUUUUUAAAGUGUUUUUUAUUUGGAAAUGUAUUAAAUUAAAUAAUAUUUUUUUAAAAAAAAAAUUAUUUUUGACAUCAACAUAUUAAAAUGAUAUAAAAAUAUAUAAAAUUAUAAUUUUCUUUUUAAAUUAUGAAAUAUAAAAACAUGCUCUUCGUAUAAAUCUUGAAUUGUACUACUGUACAGAAGUUAAGGCAGGAAAGAAUGGUUGACUCGUUGAGUAUAUAUGAGCUCUAUCAUGUUCAAAUUAAUUCGUUACUGGUUUAAAAAAUAGAUGACAUAUUACCUAUAAUUAGUUCUAAUCAUAAGAGUAUUUUAAUUUUUUACUUCAAUAUAGACGCAUGGAAGAUCCAUGCAUCAUGGACGAAAGAGUAAAGACUUCAGUACUAAACCAUUUAUGCGAAAAAAGAAAAGGUGAAGGAAAGAAGGCGGCGUCCACCAUUGAUGUUUUUUAAGAUCUAGCUAGUGUUCUUGCAUCUGAGUCAAAUACAAUCUCCUUGGUUCAUAUGAUGACGAAAGAAUGUGGCCAGAAAAUUUCGACAAAGUAAUUUAGGCCCACAUUUUCUAAUAAAGUGGCCAGGCUGAUGUCUAGUUAGGUUAAAUGGAGUUUUAAAUUUUCAAGUGGGUAUCAUAAUAUUGAAGAAGAAGGUGGGAGCGACUUUAGCUAAGAACAUAUUAAUUAGUUCUUAAUAUGUUGUAUUUAGUCAAUGUCUUGUGAUAGACAGUAUAAAUACAAAAAAAGAUAGAAAUAUAUUUAAUUAAAGAAAUAGUGAUGUAUAUAAAAUAAAUCUAUUUCUAAAAUAAAAAAUAUAAGAAGAUGAGAUAUAUAUAUCCCUUGCUUUAUCCAUAACUAAACACUAUUCGGAUGAAUUUAUAGGAUUAGCCAUUAAUUACAUAUAUAAUUACUAGAAAUUUAAUAAUUUAAACGAUGAUCAUGUGGAAACCACUAAAAUAUAUUCAAAGUUGUUUAAUUAAUUAUAUAUAUGUUGUGUUCGAAAUGUAAGCUAGAAUAAAGUGGUAUUACCAUGUCACUAUGCAGGAUUCCCUUUGACUAUUGGGUCCUAAUAUUUAUUUUUUAAUCACCAUUAAUGCUCUUAAUUAAUAAUUAACUACAAGAACUCCGCAAAAUUAUAGCUUUCUCAUGGAGGGAAACUUUUUUAUUCUUGGCUUCAUGGCUUGGACUUGUAAUUGGCUCUACAUACAUGGAAUUGCAUAAAAUCUUCAUCUUCAUCGUGAUGCCAUUACUAUUAUAUCAAUAAAUGUCCUUAUCAACUUUGUUGGUUGCGUCUAAUUUUCUGAUUAAUUAUGCAAUUGCAACUCGAUAAUAUAUUAUAUUGUUGAAAAUGGAACAAAAAUCCAAAAUGACUUCCCAACAAAUAAAUAAAGAAAUCCCACAUCUUUAUCAUGUUGUUCUUGAAAGCAUCACCACCUAGAAUAAAAAACUAAAAAAAGCAUCUAGUAGAAUAUAGAGAUGCCAUGGAUGUACACAUAACCCACCAAAGUAUUAAAAAAGCUUAGCAUUUAUAUAUAUAUAUAUAUAUAUAUAUAUAUAUAUAUAUAGGUUACUUUCUCUUCUAAGAUUAUUACACAUCAUACAAAGGGAAACAUUGUUUUGAAACCGAUCAUGUCAAAUGGGUCUAUAUAAGAUUUGACUCAUCCAGAACUAGAACUGGGUCGGAUUGAAAUAAAAAACAAUGGAAUAAAAAAUUUAGUGUGACCUGGUAAGAACUUGUUAAAAACUCGAUUGCAACUUGUUGAUUUUUUUUUUAUUUUACUAAAAUAAUAUUGUUUUGAUUUUAAAAAAAAUUAACUCGGAUGAUCUAGUGACCCAGUUAAAAUUCGAUGACCUAAUCAAAAUUUAAAAUUCAAAUCUUAAAUCAGACUAACCAUGGAACCGAGUCUGAAAACUAUAAAAACAAAUGCUAUUAUAUUUUUUACACCUACACAACACAAUUUGCUCAACUGUCGUAGCCAAGACAUUUUGUACAAUAUUAUACUUUGCCAAGCUUUUUUUUUUUAAAUAAAAAAAUAGAGCAUUUCAAAUCAUUCAAGGACUGAGUGUGCGAUCGUUAAGAUCCACGCUGUUGUACUUUAGCCUAUCCACCUUUCCAUUAUAUAUAUACAUAUAUAUGUAAACAUUUCAAAGACAAUUCUUAAAAGACUUCCAAACCCAAAGCUACAUUAUAUUUUUUUAAGUAUUUUUUAUUUAAAAAAUAUUAAAAUAAUUUUUUAUUUUUAUUUUUAAUAUCAUUACAUCAAAAUCAUAAAACAAUUACUAAAUAAAAAUAUUAAUUUAAUAUUUUUUAAAGAAAAUAUAAUUUUUAAAAACACCUAAAAAGUAAAAGCUUUCGCACUAGGUCUUAAUAUACCAAUUUUUGUUUUCCUGAUUUUUUUUAGAAUAAGUAAUUAUUUAUUUAUUUGUGAGAAAAAUAGUAAAUUAAUUAUUUUAAAAUUUAACGGUCUGUUUGUAUCAAAGCUCACAACUUUUUACUUUUUAAAAAAACUAAAGCGUUAAUUACAAAUUAUAAUAAUAUAAUUUCAUAAAAAAAAUUAUAAUGAGAUAGAUGAGUUACUGGGUCAUUUAAACUUCAAGCAUUUUACUACUGCUGUAUCAAAGACAAUUUUUCUUUUUAAUUUAAUAAUCAAGAAUUUUUUUUAAAUUAUGUUUUCCAUAUUCGGACUUAAGUUCUUCCUACCCGAGUCUCGAACGAGGCAUUUAUUAGAAAAAUAUUUUUCUACAAUAUUUUCUAAAUUGGAACUAAGACAAUUCAAUAGGAUUAGAUCCCAGCCCUUCACUAGGUCAGGCCCAUUAAUAUGAUGUAACAACACUCCUAACCCAUAAUUUGACAGAGCUUAACCUUCUCUUCAUGGGCCUACAAAUUAACUCGUUUAGCCCAAACAACAACAACAAAAUAAAAGUUGGGCUAAUUUCAUUUGACCCCUUUAAGUACAUGGGCCUUAUCAGUUUCUUCCCAAAACUUUAUUCUAUGACAAUUACCCUCUGACAUUUCAUCCAUUUAUCAAUAAGGUUCUUCAUUAUAUCUUCAUUAACGGGUCAAUUGAAUGAGUUUUCUUUCAAAAUUAAAUUAUAUUUAAAUUUAUUAAAUGUUUGAAUUUAAUUUUUUAAAAUAUUUAUUGAUAAAAUAAGUAUAUAUUUGAAAAUAAUUAAAAUUAAUAAAAUAAAAAAGUAAUUGUUUUGUUAAUCCCUGGGUGGAAGGACCUUACUAAACAAAGAUGAAAAAUCAAGGGUCAAUUGAAGUGAACAAAGUUUUUAAAAGAAAUGGUGCCAUGAAAUUGACCCUUAAAACUCUCCGUUUAAUUUUAAGCAAACACAUGUCCUUCACUGUAACAUAAACAAAAUUCAAAAACCCUAAUGUCUCUCAAAAACCCUAAAAAAUGGAGAUUCACAUGGGAAACCCAAUCCCAAUCACCAAAUCUAAAACUAUUUCUCUUCAAUUCACAAUCAAAACCUUCAGUUCACCACCUUCAAGCUCAAUUAAACCUCGCAAAAUCCCACCUUUUAGUUACCUUCACUGAGGAUGAAGAAACCAGUGAAGUUUCAAUUAGGGUUCCGAUUCCUAGGGUUUUAAUUGACCCUGAAUCUCCAGUAAAUGCUAAAGCUUCUGAUGAUCAUAUUGAAGUUAAGCUUGUUUUGCUUCUUCCUGUUGAUCACCCUUUAGUUUCUACCUUUGAUUUGUUGAAUUUGAGUGAUGAAAGUGAGAGGAACGAGGAUUUGGAUUUGUUAAAGCCACUCAUUAUGGAUUCUGGUAAUUUACAAUAUUUUUUUUUCGAGUUGUUUGGGUUAGUAUUCUGUUGGGUUUGAUUUAAAAGUUCAGUUAAAGUUAUAAUUUUGAUUGAAGAGAACAGGUGAAAGGUUUUAACUUAUAAUUAUUGAUUUUGGCUUAAUGUGAUUGUCUGUGUUAUGAUUUAGAGCUGUGCAUUAGUCGUGCUGGACUUGGUUUUUUAUUCUGAUGUGUUUUAAUUGUUUGGUUCAGAUUUAAAGAGCUUAUCCUCAAUGGAAGGAGCUCAUUUUUAUUGCAGAAGUUGCUCGAAUAGACUGACUAGAAGUCCUUUAAAGUAAGAUUGUUGAUUGCUCGUUCUAGUUAAUUCCUUUUGAUUUUGCUCGAAUAUGCAUAUUUUAUGAGUAUGGUUGAUUUAUUGGAAUUCGUCCAUAAGUUUUCAAUACCUCACUAUACCAUUUAUAGGUUUACCAAAUGAAAAUUGGGAUAUGUAGGCUGUAGAAACGGGAGCUUUUAUAUAGGCUGCUUUGAGUUGUUAAUUUGCACUUAGGUUUAUGGCAUCACUUUAAUAAUUUUCUGUUUAGUCUUAGCUUUCCUCAGAAUUUCUAUUCAUACGUAGGCAAUUUGUGGAAAUGCCAUCGGUUAAUUGGCCAGAGAUGGCUGACAACUGGUUUGGAGGUUGCUGUUGUUCAUUUGGAGGUGCCAGUGAGAAGUUGGUGAAUAGGUAUGCACAUGCAUAUGCAUGUCCAAUGGGUGUGUGCAUGUUGAAUUCUACAGCUGUUACACUUUGCAGUAAUGAUCUUGCUGGAUGUAAAUUUUCUGAAAAAUAUAGAAUACAAACGUACAAGCCUGAACAGGAGUCUGGCGAUGAAGGUUUAAGUGAAGAAGCUAUGCGAGAUUUUGAAACAGAAUCUGGAAGAGUUACAAGGUGUGACAGUCAAUGUGGAGUGAUCCAUGGCGUUAAUGGAAAAUCAGGGUCUUCAUGUUCCAAAUUGGAAAACCAUGGUGAGAAUGUCAAAUUUAAAGUUGCAGAGGAAAAAACUAAUAGUAGUAUAUUAUUGCCUGCACUACCAGCAUCAGAUCUCUCUGAAAAAGUGGCUCCAGGACCAGGUUGUUGUGAUUCAGUACAUCAUACUCCAGAUUAUACUGAUGAAGGUGGCAUCCAUGAUGUGUGUGGACCUUAUUUGGAAGACCAGAAAACCACAAAAGCUAUGGAACUCAGGAUAAAUCAGAGAUCUUUCCUCAAUGGCUUUCUUGGAGAUGCUUUCAUUGCUAGAUCCUAUAAUCUAUCUACCGAUAUUGAAUGGAAGCAAUUUGUUUGCCCACAGUGCUCAUCUCUUAUUGGUGCUUAUCCAUGUGCAAAUGGGGACAUGCCUGUAGAUGAUGGAGUUAGACUUUUUAAAUGCUACAUUUCCACUUCUCUGCCAGUUGGUGGACCAGCUGACCUUUUCAGGUACAUGGUUGCUGUACUUUCUUAAUAUUUUUCCACAAUUUUCAUUUCCUGCACUUGUGUAUUUCUAGCUAAUUAGAAAAUGCAAAAAAUUACGUAGUGAAUCUAAAGGUUUGUAUAUGGGAUAUAGCAGCCUUGAGCUUCACAAAAAAAAUUAAAUUGAUCAUCAUGAACAGGAAAUAUACUCUGGAGAGAAUGUUCACAAGUCAGCUAGUGGAAAGUGCAAAAGAUGAAUUAUCAUUCAGGACCGUGGUCAGGGAUUUGAGAACAAAAUCUCCCAUGCUUCAGAUUGUCCUUGUAAAUCCAAAUUCAUGGUGCUGUAGUGGUGAUUGUUUGGACACAAAGAGCAAUACUGAUUCAGUUUUGAAGUUAGAUCUACACCCUGUUAUCAAGGUUCUGUUUUCAGAUUGUAGCAGCAAUACAGAAUCUCAACUGAGGUUGGUCUCCUAAUUAAUAUCUUUGGUUGUUUGCUUGACAGUCUUUUCUAGUAACCGAAGAAUGCAUGCCUGUAUUCUUGAUGGUGGUGAUUCAAAAUAAACAACCAAAUCUCGAUAAGACUCCUGCUAGAGUCUUGAAUAUGUGCUGGAUUAUACACCCCCAAAGUGCCCGCACACACAAAUAAGAAAAAAAAGUUGACAUGAGUGGAAGUUUCUUUUCCAAAAAUGUUAAUAACUUUUCCACUUAACUUAUUUGUAUUCUAAUGUCAACCCCUCUACUUAAAAGAGUGCGGAAGGCACUAAUCAUGUCGCACUUUCUUUUCUGUUAGUGAUUCACUUAGAAAACAUCUGUUCCUUUUCUUCAAGUUGUAGUUAAAGAUUGAGAUUUGUGCAGGGUGUUGGAAGAUUGGGUGACAAAAAAUCAAGCAGAUGAAGUUUUCAUGUUGGCGCAUCUAAUAAAAGAGUUAAUUGAAACCAUAGCAUCUGCUAAAGUUGAAUUUCCGCCAUCGUGCACUUUCCUUCAGGGUUUAUCCUUUUCGUCCAUGCCGAGGUAAUAUGAUCUCAUUUUUGGAAGGUAGGAGUUAGGAAUUCAAGCGAAUUCAACUGGAAAAUUAGAAUGCAAUCUGUAUUUAAAAUGGCAGGCAGGAAAUGGUCCUGCUUGAUUCAAGAAGAAAAUCAUUUCAUCUUCGGUGUCAUUAUCCUCCUCUGCUGAUUCUUCCUCCAUAUUCAGAAACUCGAUGAGACUUUCAAUAGCACCUUGCGUUUUGUUACAUUUCUUAAGUUGCUGUGAUACUUCUGCUGGGGUAACUGAUAUCCUCUGAAUUAGAUCUUCAAUGCACUUGAAAAAUCCAUGGUCUUCAAUUCCUAGAUAUGUCAAUGCAAGCAAUGCUGGGUCUAGUCUCUCUCUGUAGUUGGUUGUGAAGAUAUGUUGAUUCUUUCUUCCCCACAGCUUGACCACAUGCCAUUGAUGCAGUUCAAACAACCUAAUGGAUUACCUACGGUGUUUCAGGGAAUUUUUUUUUUUUAAAAAGAGAAGAUGUAAAUGAUUCAAAAUUCGGAUGAUGGAUGUAUAAAAACUACAGAAGUAGUAAUGGUUAUCAAGUUAUUCAUAUUUUCGGUUCUUAUUUAGAUGUUAAACACUAAUACAACUAGAUUAUAGCCUUCGCAUUCCUAAUCCUCUCCCUGUUGGGAGAAAACAAGAUUUGAUUUUAAAUCCUUGGGACGAGAACUAUGGAUUUUACCAAGCUAUCAAUUAAGAACAGUACUUGUUAUAUAAGCAUGUUGGGCAGUCCAAUGCUUGAAAGGAAAACUACAACACUAUUGCAGACCCGAUUAUUCAUGAAGUCUAACUAAUGGAUUUCAAAGAGAUAAUUUGCCUACAAGGAAACCAGAAAGACAGAAAAGGGAAAGAAAUAAACGUUGGGAGACAAUUACUUGGCCUCUUCUCAAGAAAUUGAUGCAGGAGAUUUUGGUCGAAUGCAGUUUUACAAUAACAAGAAUAUAUCUUCAAUCCAAUUAUUAGAUUAGUCUUAUAAUAAUAAACAUUUCUAAUCUGAUUGUCAGAUCAUAUUAAAAAUUUACCAUGAAAUUUUAUUAUAACCACUUGAAAUCAGGUUGAUAAAACAUUCAAAUUAGAUCCAAAAGUUAAUGUUAAAGAGUCUUUAUAUUUUCCUAGUUAAUUUAUGUUUUUUUUUUACUCUUAGUUUAAAAUUCUUUCAUUAUUUUUUUUAUGAAAUAUGGAUUUUUUAUUAUAGAAAAUAAAAUUUAGAGUAUUUUUCUAGAGUUGAAUACACCAAGGGUUUCUCAAGUUGGAAAAACACUUUGUAAUGGUAGCAAUGCAAACAGCUCCACACUGGUAUGGUAGUCAUAACUAAAAGAGAUUGAAAAACAAUAUAUCGUAUCAUAUUAUAAUAUUAGCUUCUUCUUUUUCAAGCUAAAAAGUUUCUUUCAUGGAAGAGGUUUGUGCCGUAACCCAUAAGAUAGUCCUCAUUCUUUUAUUAUUUAGAGAAGCAAUAUUGGUACUUUUAGUUCAAACCCUAAUUCACUAUCCUUUUUUUUUCUCUCAAUGUUCUUGUGCAAUCUAACAUCUUGCACCUAAAAACAUUUCUCAAUGAUUUUCUCUUACUUAAUCCAAAAAGUUUACAAAUUUUAACUUAUGAGGUUAUUCAAGCUAUAUUUGGGAACACGGUUGCACCGAUGGUAUAAUUACAUUUUUAAAUAAGUAUUUAGAAGUAUGAUAAUGAAUAUUUUUAAAAAUAGUUUUUACUCGAGAAUAUAUUAAUAUAAUUUUAUUUUUAAAAAAUAUUUUUGAUAUCAGUAUAUCAAAACGAUUUGAAAAUACCCUAAAAAAUUAACUUGAAGUAAAGAAAAAAAAUAAAAAGAUUAAAAAAAAAACACUUUUAAGAUAAAAAAAAUAAACUGAAUAUCUCUCCUAAACUUCAGUUUAUAUGUGGCUUUCUUCAAAUGGAAUCCGUCUUUCUGUCUAUUUUACUCCUUAAACUAACAAAACUAAUGACUUGACAUGAUUUAUAUCUAAAUUGGUCCCUUGAAAUUUUAAAAAAGUCUCAAUCAAACACCUAUCCUUUCAUUGUAUUACAUUUCAUAAAACUUGUCUCACCAAAAUCUAGAACAAUCCCCAUAAACAUUUAUUUUGACCACACAGUUCAAAGAUUAGCUUAAUCAUCAAAUAAGAGAUCAUUUUUUACAAAUUUAUUAUGAUCAAUAACUAUUAGUGUGAUGGCUUUAAUUAUUCUUACACUUCAACUAAAAGAAUUUCAAUUAUGAUGUGGCCAUUAAUAUAGUUUAUUAAUUUUGUUAUAUUAAACUUUAUGUUUUGCACAACUAAAGCAUUUUUCUAUUCAUUUUCUCUUAUAAGAAUGAUAAUAUUAAAAGAUGAUACUAACUAAAUUCAUAAUAGAAUACGACAUCUAUUUCUUUCUUUAUUCCAAACCAUUCAUAAAAGGAUUCAGGAUGAUUAAUUAAAAAUUAUAUUCCAAACCAUUCAUAAAAGGAUUCAGGAUGAAUAAUUAAAAAUUGUAUUAUGCUAGAGGCAUAAACAAUCAUAGAUAAUUAUAUAAUGAUAUCCCUCAAAAAAAAAAAAGAAUUUCUGCCCAGACUCCUAUAAAAAACUAGUGGGGAAUUUUUCGCAAUAGAUACAAAACCCUAUAUUUCUUCUAGCAAAUCUUCCAAUUGUUCCAAAACAACUAGAAAUAAAUUCUUUAACUAUAUAUAAAAAAUUAUAAUUAAAAUAAAUUGCUCGGCCUCGGACAAUGUAUAAAUUUAUAAUUCUUUAACAAGCCAGCGGUGAUUUCAGCUUGCUGUGGUUCCAAAUCUUCUAGCAACCUCGGCCUCGGACAAUGUAUCCCAUAGCUGCGAGAUUUCAGUGACAUAAAUUAGGAUAAAUUAUACAAACUUCCUCAUGGAUACGCGCUCCAAUAAAUAUAAGAUAGGGUUUUUAAACUCACUUCCAAUGUCCCCUUGGAGCCUCCAAUAGCGAGCAGAAAAGGGUUGUCCUCUGAGAAGGAAACAGAAAAGAUAGCUCCCUGAAAACAUUCAGAACAGUGUGAUGACUCAUGCUACCAUCUAAAAACAUGUUUAAACUUUUUUUAUAGCGUGAGAUUUGAGGAAAGUUAUGGUCACAUACUGCUUUAGGAUUUUUGGAUACUAAACAUGAGGGUUGGUUGUUGGACAGAUCCCAGAGUUUUACCUGUAGAAAAAUUCAGCAGAAAAUGGAAUUAUAUGAACCAUCGAUAACUUCUGCUCUGGAGGACCCAAAAAAAAAAGAAAAGCGUAAUGACUUCACCAUUUUAUCUGUUGAUCCAGUAGCAAGAAGCUGUCAAACAUGGUCAGGAAAGUUUAGUGAAGUUGAUAAUAUAAACAUCUAACUAGAACUGAGGAUUAAAAUAUGAAAAUGAAGAUAGUACAUUAGGUGCUAAAGGAUUAUAAGAGAUUGUGCAAACAGCUUUGUCAUGUGCAUGGAGGGUAAAACUUGGCUUAAGGUCAGAAGCUGAUCCAGACUUGGCAGCACGGAUGUCAAAACCUUGAACUGUACCAUCUUCAAGACUCACCUACAAGGAUAUCUCAGCAUUUUAGAAGAUAUUUCAGUGCCUCGCAAAUAAAACACUAUAUACACCUAUCAUGUAUUCAAAACAUAGAAACAAUGUUCCCCUCUGUUUCUUUGUCAAGAAGAAAUAGAAGGAACUCAAAAACAAGUAUAGGAAAACCAUAAAUAGAAGGAUGAAGCACACACCACAAAUAAAUGCUUAUCAUGCGGAUCCCAGGCCAAGCUUUCAACGUCAGCUGUCACCGACCACUUGAAACCAGGAUCUGAAGGCAACCUUCCAUCCUUCUGCAAAGCAUAAGGGUAAUGACAUCAAGACUAAGAAAGCUCUUAAUUACCAUGACUACUGAAAGAAAACUUUCACAUGGCAGUGAUCUGAGAAACAGAAGCCUUGCACUGUGAGUUAUAGUGACAAUCCAAAUCUAUAGACAUCAGACUAAGCAAGCGCUGUAUUACCAUGACUACAGAACGAUCAAAAGAUCCACUGAGAAGAACUUGUGGCUCAUGAUGAUUCCAUGCAACUGCUUGAACCUGUCAGCAUUUGUAUGAAAAGAAGAAUGUAACCCAUAUCAAUAAGCUAAUAACACAAGUACCCAUAAUUUUUGCAUCCAGUAAAUUUAAAUAGAACCAUAAGACACAGCAUAGUAAAGGGUGUUCAUUACAUUGGCUAGCACAAACUGCUAUGACUUAGAGCUGAAAACAUUCCAAAAACCCUGCUCUUAUAAUUCCAACAAAUCUUGGAAGACUAAAUUGUUCUAUGAAGACAGGCAACUGGCACAUUGUAUGACAGUUGGAUAAAACGAAGGAACUCAACUUUCAUUUGUUUUCUUUUUCAUUAUUAGAAUUUCCUUAACAAGUGUUUAGCUUUAUGACAAAGGAAUAUUGACAAGUUAUUCAAUCACUAGCACGUUGAUCUUUGAAUGGUUCAACAGCAUGUCUUGCAGCAUACAUGUGCAUACAAUGUGCCUGGUAGUCCUUGGGUUGAGGACACUGAUAGGUCAGCACCGAUGCAUGAACAGUUGUAAUAUCCCAAUGAAUGCAUACCCACGUAACAAAUGAAUCUGGCUUGGUUCACUGUCCAAAUUAUAUGAAAGAAUAAUGUGAGGCUAUAUUCUUGCCUUGUCUGUAUGAUGCUCCAUGGUAAUGUCACAUUUUCCAGCAACCACAUCCCAAAUUUUGACUUGUUUGUCGGCACUAGCACUGGCAAGGAUGUUCCUGUAUUUAUUUCAGUACUUAUUAGCUAUCGGAGCAAUCAAUCAAUGUUAGCAGAUAGAACAGAACUAGAUCGUAUGAGAUUCCCCAGACCUGAAAUGCUUGUUCCAAGCAAGACCAAGGACAGAAUCAGUGUGACUGCCUUCUUUAUAUUUAAUUGACACCUGACAAAAGAAGUUGCAAGACUGGUGAGAAAAAACAAGAUAAAAAACAUAUACUUUCUCAAGCCAUAUCACAUUAUGCCCGGGUUUUGAAAUGAUGAUACUGCUCAAGGAGGAAUUGUAACAUAAAGGAACAGCGCAAAUCAAAACAAACCCAUAACAGUUAUCCAUGAUACUGUAGUCAUCAAUCAUAGAAACAAAAUGCAAAAGCAAGGUACAAGAACCACCAUUAAGUUGACCAGUUCCAAGAUGUUUCAGGUUGGAUUCUAAUGAUAAAAGAUGUGAGUGGAGGACCUAGCAAGGUGCAGGCCAUCCAGCAUAUUGAUGUAUAUUUUUUUUUAAAAAGAAGGUGAAAAAAAGAAAACAGGAAUAUUUUUUCCUUUGCCAUGGCUGGUUCACACAUGCAGCAGGCAUAUCUUAAAACCUGCCAAUUAUAGACACCACUAUAAAGGUGUCAAUGCUUUUCCGAAGAUACCUUAUUUCUGAAUCUCCCUAAGAUAAGAUAAGCAUGAAGAAAAACCCAUGAACUCCGCUUCAACAUUCAUGCCCGCUUGAGCAGAAAAUUGUGAAGAAAAUUCAUGGAUCUCAAUCACACAAAGAUGUAACCUUAAAUGGAUGCCAAUGCCAAUGAAAAACAAAGUUUUAACUUCAUUCCUUCUCCUCAUUCAUAGCCGCCUUUUGAACACAUAAACAAUAAAAGGUGCAAAGAACAUUAAAGGAACUCUAGAAUACACCUUUUUCCCUUUUUUCUUCUUCUUUUUCUCUUCAAUGCCACCUAAUACCACAGCUGGUUGCACUUCAUCAAUCUGAGAACAUCAGAAAAAAUGUAAGAGAUUCUAAAACAAUCUCUGCCUAAAAAAUUCAAUGUAUUUGUAAUUUUAUGUGAUGUUCCACAUACAAUGUCAAGGUCCCAUAUUUCAAUGGCAGGUUCCAUUGACCCAACAGCUAUAAAAUUCCCUGCAAAAACACAAAUAUCAAAAGAGGUAGUAAGGCAUAAGCUUCUGCGAGAAAUCCAACCCUCAUGCACCACUUUUUAAUUUCAUUGCUACUCUAAAACCAGAUGUCUCAAAAAAUGGAGGUGAGCCUAGAAAAUGGGAAUAUACUGGAGAAACUGGAAUCUGCAAGAAAAACAAGGUAUAAGCUAUCAUACCUUUUUCUCCCCCUUUAAGUGGACAAUCAAGCCAUGCUGUGCAAAGAGGAAAUGCUGAAAGGGGAACCUCAUGGUGAACGUAUAUGUUUGAAUCACCAUCACUUGUUUCAUCCAAUAUCCAAACCUGCAUGCACAAUUGGCGCUUCGUGUCAGGAGAUAGAGAGAGAGAGAGAGAAUUGCAGAGCUUCCCAACUAACAAUUGCAUGCCUCGAGGUUACUAAAUUCAUCCUUGUUGCAUGCACAAACAAUGACUGCAUCCUUUGGUUUGAUAGCCAUGUCUUCAAGAUCUUCAGAAUCAUCAUCCUAAAAGAGUCAGUGCAAAUAUAAGUAACCAAAUACCAAGAGAAGCCAGCUACAGCAUAACAAAGUAGUCAAACUUACAUCUUCAUCCUUGAUGUACGGGUCCAUGCUAUUACUUGGGUAGUAAAGGUCCCCGAGUCCUGUGCUGAACAGCUCAAUACCUGCAUGACCAGAUGCAUCUUUAGUUGCACAUCCAUUGUGAAUUAAAUUCAAGGCAUGUGACCAGAAAAUGAUGUGAAUCAAAAGGGAAAAAAAGAGCUGAAAAAGCAUUUAUGCAAGUGAUUGUUAUUCACUGGUUUAAUAAUUCCCUCAAUGAUUCAAACAUUCAAGAAUGCUCUUAUCAAGAGACAUCGGUAUUUAAACAAUCCAUCCUAACCUCCCAAACUAAACCAGCAUGGCGACCAAUGACCCUCUUAUUUUCUACAAAAUGUAUCAGAUAAAAAAAAGUACAUAAAAGAAAAGGAAAAAGAAAAAUGGAUUCUUUGUAUGCAUAUGUACCAUCCUCCUCAUCAUCGUAGUUGUCCAUAUCAAGUUCCUGCAGACCAUCUGCUAUGUCAUCAAAUUUGGUCUCUGACUUGUUAACUUUGGAACUUCUGCCAAGUGCAUUUGCUACAGCUAAUGCUUGGCUUACUUCACCGGUCUGCUUGGCAGCAUCAACAUCCAUUUCCUGGUCAUCUUCCUCGCUGCCACUAUCUUCUCCACUGGACAAACCAAGAACAUAAAAAACAAUCACACUAAUAAACAACCCAGAAAUUUGACAGUAUAACUAGAACACGAUGGUUGACACAACAGUCAUGUUAAACUCGGGUUCAUAAAAUAAAAGCAAUAAUCACAAAAUCCAGAACCAGAGAUUGAUAGUUUCAUCACACAAAAACAUAUACAACCAAAUAUCAAUUUGCAUAACUUGAAGACUGAUACAACCCAAUACAAUACCAAAACUCCACCAAGUUCACAUAACCCAUAUAUCCAUUAACCCUUCGUAACAGAGAUUUAAAUUUUGUUUUUUCAUCAAAUGGGUCUCAAAAACUCAAACCCAAUCACACUUUACUAUAAAAUCAACACCUCCAAAUUAACCUCUUGAUUUAAAACUCUGCUAUUUUAGUACUUGGAUAAUCAACAUUACAAUGCUCCAUGAAGCCUAGUUCUCCCAUUCAAUUAUCAACAGCAUUGAAAAUACACAAAAAGUGAAUCAGCCAACAAACCGUAUAGCAAAAAAACCGUACGUUCAACAACUAAUAGCCAUUGAAACACAAAAAGAAGUAAACUUUUUUGAAAGAAAAAGGGAGAAAAUAGUAGCUUACCUUCUCUCACUAGCUUUGAUCAGCUCUUCAAUUUCCUCUUUUGAAGGUGGGUCUGCUACACUUGGUAGAGACUUUGCAACCCCUUUGGGUACCCACGAAACUGCUGCUAUCAUUAUUCCUCUUCAAAGCAAAAAUUUAUAAAUUUGAGAUACUGGAAACCCGAAACUUGGAAUUCAAUAAAAAUAAAUGUAUAGGUUUGAAAUUAAUCCUUUGAAAAUUCAUUCACACUGUUUAUUUAAACAAAUCCAAUUUUAAACAUGGAUUUUUAAAAACUGAUCCAGAAAUACAUGGCAAUGAUUAUUGUUAAUAUCUAAAAAACUUGAAGACAACUUCUUUGCAUGUGAUUUCUUCUCUUUAAGAUAUCUUCAUUACCAGCUUCAUUACCAGCUUCAUUAACCCAGAAAAGAACACAUAUCACAAAUCAGGAACCUUACAAAAUUUGAUAGAAAAAACUUGUUAUUCAUCAACAGAACCUUAUCCAAAAAUAACCUAGACAUUAUAAUUAAAAUAAAUUGGUAAAUUAAUCAUCCCUACGCUAACUUUAUCCAUAUUCCCAGAAUCCACAGAAUACAAAAAAAAUAUUAAUCACAGGAUGCAAUUGAUCUUCACAAUGUUGGGUAACCAAAAAAAAAAACACCAGUAGAAGUUGAAGUAACAUGGACUGUGUCUCAACAACCUUUAGCAUGAUUAUUGAUCAAUCAGCCAAUAACAAUUCAAUAGCUGCAUCCCAUAGUCAAUGAAAAUAAUCAAUCACAGCGGAAAAUCAACAAAAAUAGCCUACUAUCCAUGUUCAACUAGUAAUUCUCCUCUAAAACCAUAUUUUCCAAAAACAAAUAUUCAAAAGCUGCACGCAAAAUCAAUGCCAAUAUAUCAAUCAAUCACAUGGGCAAAUCAACAAAAAAGUAAAACAAACACUACUAUCAAUUUGGACCAGUGAUUUCACUCUAGAAUCGUAUUUUCAUUCCAGGAUUUCAAAACAUUUUUUAACCUCUAAGCUCAAAUAAUCCACACCAACCAAUUCUUUGCACAAUCGAUUUCCAACUCUAAAAUCAAACAAACAGGAGCCGUUUUGAAAUCCUUCUAUCAAUCACAGCUUAUUCACAGAGCAUAACCAUCAAGUUAAACAUAGCCCCUGAUCUAUCAAAAUUUCUUUUCGAUUUCUUCCCACAAAAUCAACAGAAAAUAAUAAUAAUAAAAAAAACCACAAAAUCCUCCAAAUUUCUUCCCGAUUUGAAUAAUUUCAUGUUGCAUACAUUUUUUCUUAUCACAGUCUACUUCUGGUCUAUCAAAAUCUAAACUUUCAUCACCUCUAAAUCAUUAGCAAACCAAACCGAUAUUAAGCACAAUAAUUAUCAAGAAAUUAAUUAAAUUUAGUUCAACUAAUCAGCAUAUAACAAUAAAAAGGUAUGUUGUUGUUCAUUUGGAGGUGCCAGUGAGAAGUUGGUGAAUAGGUAUGCACAUGCAUAUGCAUGUCCAAUGGGUGUGUGCAUGUUGAAUUCUACAGCUGUUACACUUUGCAGUAAUGAUCUUGCUGGAUGUAAAUUUUCUGAAAAAUAUAGAAUACAAACGUACAAGCCUGAACAGGAGUCUGGCGAUGAAGGUUUAAUUGAAGAAGCUAUGCGAGAUUUUGAAACAGAAUCUGGAAGAGUUACAAGGUGUGACAGUCAAUGUGGAGUGACCCAUGGUGUUAAUGGAAAAUCAGGGUCUUCAUGUUCCAAAUUGGAAAACCAUGGUGAGAAUGUCAAAUUUAAAGUUGCAGAGGAAAAAACUAAUAGUAGUGUAUUCUUGUCUGCACUACCAGCAUCAGAUCUCUCUGAAAAAGUGGCGCCAGGACCAGGUUGUUGUGAUUCAGUACAUCAUACUCAAGAUUAUACUGAUGAAGGUGGCAUCCAUGAUGUGUGCGGGCCUUCUUUGGAAGACCAGAAAACCACAAAAGCUAUGGAACUCAGGAUAAAUCAGAGAUCUUUCCUCAAUGGCUUUCUUGGAGAUGCUUUCAUUGCUAGAUCCUAUAAUCUAUCUACUGGUAUUGAAUGGAAGCAAUUUGUUUGCCCACGGUGCUCAUCUCUUAUUGGUGCUUAUCCUUGGGCAAAUGGGGACAUGCCUGUAGAUGAUGGAGUUAGACUUUUUAAAUGCUACAUUUCCACUUCUCUGCCAGUUGGUGGACCAGCUGACCUUUUCAGGUACAUGGUUGCUGUACCUUCUUAAUAUUUUUCCACCAUUUUCAUUUCUUGCACUUUUGUAUUGCUAGCUAAUUAGAAAACACAAAAAAAUUAUGUAGUGAAUCUAAAGGUUUGUAUAUGGGAUAUAGCAGCCUUGUGCUUCACAAAAAAAAAAAAAAUUGGUCAUCAUGAACAGGAAAUAUACUCUGGAGAGAAUGUUCAGAAGUCAGCUAGUGGUAAGUGCAAAAGAUGAAUUAUCAUUCAGGACCGUGGUCAGGGAUUUGAGAACAAAAUCUCCCAUGCUUCAGAUUGUCCUUGUAAAUCCAAAUUCAUGGUGCUGUAGUGGUGAUUGUUUGGACACAAAGAGCAAUACUGAUUCAGUUUUGAAGUUAGAUCUACACCCUGUUAUCAAGGUUCUGUUUUCAGAUUGUAGCAGCAAUACAGAAUCUCAACUGAGGUUGGUCUCCUAAUUAAUAUCUUUGGUUGUUUGCUUGACAGUCUUUUCUAGUAACCGAAGAAUGCAUGCCUGUAUUCUUGAUGGUGGUGAUUCAAAAUAAACAACCAAAUCUCGAUAAGACUCCUGCUAGAGUCUUGAAUAUGUGCUGGAUUAUACACCCCCAAAGUGCCCGCACACACAAAUAAGAAAAAAAAGUUGACAUGAGUGGAAGUUUCUUUUCCAAAAAUGUUAAUAAUUUUUCCACCUAACUUAUUUGUAUUCUAAUGUCCACCCCCAUCACUACUAUGGUGGCCAGUCUGGUAGAGGUCCCUACCCUGGCAGUGAAAAUAUCGCCUUAAAAGAGUGAGGAAGGUGCUAAUCAUGUUGCACUUUCUUUUCUGUUAAUGAUUCACUUAGAAAACAUCUGUUCCUUUUCUUCAAGUUGUAGUUGAAGAUUGAGAUUUGUGCAGGGUGUUGGAAGAUUGGGUGAUAAAAAUCAAGCAGAUGAAGUUUUCAUGUUGGCGCAUCUAAUAAAAGAGUUAAUUGAAACCAUAGCAUCUGCUAAAGUUAAAUUUCCGCCAUCGUGCACUUUCCUUCAGGGUUUAUCCUUUUCGUCCAUGCCAAGGUAAUAUGAUCUCAUUUUUGGAAGCUAGGAGUUAGGAAUUCAAGCGAAUUCAACUGGAAAAUUAGAAUGCAAUUUGUAUUUAAAAAGGCAGGCAGGAAAUGGUUUCUGCUUGAUUCAAGAAGAAAAUCAUUUCAUCUUCUGUGUCAUUAUCCUCCUCUGCUGAUUCUUCCUCCAUAUUCAGAAACUCGAUGAGACUUUCAAUAGCACCUUGCGUUUUGUUACAUUUCUUAAGUUGCUGUGAUACUCUGCUGUGGUAACUGAUAUCCUCUGUAUUAGAUCUUCAAUGCACUUGAAAAAUCCAUGGUCUUCAAUUCCUAGAUAUGUCAAUGCAAGCAAUGCUGGGUCUAGUCUAUCUCUGUAGUUGGUUGUGAAGAUGUUGAUUCUUUCUUCCCCAAAGCUUGACAACAUGUCAUCGAUGCAGUUCAACAAGCCUAAUGGUGUUACCUACGGUGUUUCAGGGAAUUAUUUAAAAAAAAAGAAGAGAAGAUGUAAAUGAUUCAAAAUUCGGAUGAUGGAUGUAUAAAAACUACAGAAGUAGUAAUGGUUAUCAAGUUAUUCAUAUUUUUGGUUCUUAUUUGGGGGUUAGACACUAAUACAACUAGAUUCUAGCCUUCGCAUUCCUAACCUCUCCCUUAUUGGGAGAAAACAAGAUUUGAUUUUAAAUCCUCCGGACGAGAACUAUGGAUUUUACCAGGCUAUCAAUUAAGAACAGUACUUGUUAUAUAAGCAUGUUGGGCAGUCCAAUGCCGAUUAUUCAUGAAGUCUAACUAAUGGAUUUCAAAGAGAUAAUUUGCCUACAAGGAAACCAGAAAGACAGCAAAGGGAAAGAAAUAAACGUUGGGAGACAAUUACUUGGCCUCUUCUCAAGAAAUUGAUGCAGGAGAUUUUGGUCGAAUGCAGUUUUACAAUAACAAGAAUAUAUCUUCAAUCUGAUUGUUAGAUUAUUCUUAUAAUAAUAAACAUAAUUUCUAAUUUGAUUCUAAGAUCAUAUUAAAAAUUUACUAUAAAAUUUUAUUAUAAUCACUUGAAAUCAUCUCCAUAAAACAUUCAAAUUAGAUCUGAAAGUUAAUAUUAAAGAGUCGCUAUAUUUUCCUAGUUAAUUUAUUUUUUUUUUUUUACUCAGUUUAUAAUUCUUUCAUUAUUUUUCUUUUUUUUUAUGAAAUUUGGAUUUUUUAUUAUAGAAAAUAAAAUUUAGAGUAUUUUUCUAGAGUUGAAUACACCAAGGGUUUCUCAAGUUUGAAAAACACUUUUGUAAUGGUAGCGAAACAGCUCCACACUGGUAUAGUAGUCAUAACUAAAAAAGAUUGAAAAACAAUAUAUAUAAUCAUAUUAUAAUAUUAGCUUCUUCUUUUUCAAGCUAAAAAGUUUCUUUCAUGGAAGAGGUUUGUACCGUAACCCAUAAAAUAGUCCUCAUUCUUUUAUUAUUUAGAGAAGCAAUAUUGGUACUUGUAGUUCAAACCCUAAUUCACUAUCCUUUUUAUUUUCUCAAUGUUCUUGUGCAAUCUAACAUCUUGCACCUAAAAACAUUUCUCAAUGAUUUUCUCUUACUUAAACCAAAAAGUUUAAGAAAAGUGUACAAAUUUUAACUUAUGAGGUUAUUCCAGCUAUAUUUAAAAACACAGUUGCACCGAUAGUGCAAUUGCAUUUUUAAAUAAGUAUUUAGGGGUAUGAUAAUGAAUAUUUUUGAAAAUAUUUUUUACUCAAGAAUGUAUUAAUAUAAGUUUAUUUUAAAAAAAAAAAAUUAUUUUUGAUAUUAGUAUAUCAAAAUGAUUUGAAAAUACCCAAAAAAAAAUUAACUUGAAGUAAAGAAAAAAAUAAAAAGAUUUUAAAAAAAAUACUUUUAAAAUAAAAAAAUAAACUGAAUAUAUCUCCUAAACUUCAGUUUAUAUAUGGCUUUCUUCAAAGUUGGAAUCCGUCUUUCUGUCUAUUUUCCUCCUUAAACUAACAAAACUAAUAACAUGACAUGAUUUAUAUCUAAAUUGGUCCCUUGAAAUUUUAAAAAAGUCUCAAUCAAACACCUAUCCUCUUAUUGUAUUACAUUUCAUAAAACUGAUCUCACCAAAAUCUAGAAAAAUCCCCAUAAACAUUUAUUUUGACCUCACAGAAUUCAAAAAUUAGCUUAAUCAUCAAAUAAGAGAUCAUUUUUUUACAAAUUUAUUAUGAUGAAUAACUAUUAUUGUGAUGGCUUCAAUUACUCUUAAACUUCAACUAGAAGAAUUACAAUUAUGAUUUGGCCAUAAAUAUACUUUAUUAAUUUUGUUAUAAUAAACUUUAUGUGUUGCACAACUAAAGCAUUUUUCUAUUUAUUUUCCCUAGUAAGAAUGAUAAUAUUAAAAAAUGAUACCAACUAAAUUCAUAAUAGAGUCCGACAUCUAUUUCUUUCUUUAUUCCAAACCAUUCAUAAAAGGAUUCAAGAUGAAUAAUUAAAAAUUAUAUUAUGCUAGAGGCAUAAACAAUUAUAUAGAUAAUUAUAUGUUAUGAUAUCCCUCCGACAAGACAAGAAUUUCUGCCCAAAAUCCUAUAAAACAUUAGUGGGGAAUUUUUGGCAAGAGAUGCAAAACCCUAUAUUUCUUCUAGCAAAUCUUUCAAUUGUUCCAAAACAACUAGAAAUAAAUUCUUUAACUAUAUAAAAAAAUUAUAAUUAAAAUAAAUUGCUCGGCCUCGGACAAUGUAUAAAUUUAUAAUUAAAAUAAAUUUAUAAUUCUUUAACAAGCCAGCGGUGAUUUCAGCUUGUUGUGGUUCCAAAUCUUCUAGCAACCUCGACCUCCGACAAUGUAUCCCAUAGCUGCGAGAUUUUAAUGACAUAAAUUAGGAUAAAUUAUACAAACUUCCUCAUAGAUAAGCGCUCCAAUAAAUAUAAUAUAGGGUUUUUAAACUCACUUCCAAUGUCCCCUUGGAUCCUCCAAUAGCGAGCAGAAAAGGGUUGUCCUCUGAGAAGGAAACAGAAAAUAUAGCUCCCUGAAAACAUUCAGAACAGUGUGAUGACUCAUGCUAACAUCUAAAAACAUGUUUAAACUUUUUUAUUGCGUGAGAUCUGAGAAAAGUUACGGUCACAUACUGCUUUAGGAUUCUUGGAUACUAAACAUGAGGGUUGGUUGUUGGACAGAUCCCAGAGUUUUACCUAUAGAAAUAUUCAGCAGAAAAUGGAAUUAUAUGAACCAUCGAUAACUUCUGCUUUGGAGGACCAAAAAAAAAGAAAAGGGUAAUGACUUUACCAUUUUAUCUGUUGAUCCAGUAGCAAGAAGCUGUCACACAUGGCAAGGAAAGUUUAGUGAAGUUGAUAAUCUAAACAUCUAACUAGAACUGAGGAUUAAAUUACGAAAAUGAAGAUAGUACAUUAGAUGUUAAAGGAUUAUAAGAGAUUGUGCAAACAGCUUUGUCAUGUGCAUGGAGGGUAAAACUUGGCUUAAGGUCAGAAGCUGAUCCAGACUUGGCAGCACGGAUGUCAAAACCUUGAACUGUACCAUCUUCAAGACUCACCUACAAGGAUAUCUCAGCAUUUUAGAAGAUAUUUCAGUGCGUCGCGGAUAAAACACUAUAUACACCUAUCAUGUAUUUAAAACAUAGAAACAAUGUUCCCCUCUGUUUCUUUAUCAAGAAGAAAUAGAAGGAACUCAAAAACAGGUAUAGGAAAACCAUAAAUAGAAGGAUGAAGCACACACCACAAAUAAAUGCUUAUCAUGCGGAUCCCAGGCCAAGCUUUCAACGUCAGCUGUGACCAACCACUUGAAACCAGGAUCUGAAGGUAACCUUCCAUCCUUCUGCAAAGCAUAAGGGUAAUGACAUCAAGACUAAGAAAGCUCUUAUUUACCAUGACUAAUUAAAGAAAACUUUCACUUGGCAGUGAUCUUAGAAAGAAAAGCCUUGCAUUGUGAGGUAUAGUGACAAUCCAAAUCUAUAGACAUCAGACUAAGCAAGCGCUGUAUUACCAUGACUACUGAACGAUCAAAGGAUCCACUGAGAAGAACUUGUGGCUCAUGAUGAUUCCAUGCAACUGCUUGAACCUGUCAGCAUUUGUACGAAAAGAAGAAUGUAACCCAUAUCAAUAUGCUAAUAACACAAGUACCCAUAAUUUUUUCAUCCAGUAAAUUUAAAUAGAACCAUAGUACACAGCAUAGUAAAGGGUAUUCAUUACAUUAGCUAGCACAAACAACUGCUAUGACUUAGAGCUGAAAAUAUUCCAAAAACCCUGCUCUUAUAAUUCCAACAAAUCUUGGAAGACUAAAUUAUUUUAUGAAGACAGGCAACUGGCACAUUGUAUGACAGUUGGAUAAAAAGGAGCUCCACUUUCAUUUGUUUUCUUUUUCAUUAUUAGAAUUUCCUUAACAAAUGUUUAGCUUUAUGACAAAGGAAUAUUGACAAGUUAUUCAAUCACUAGCACGUUGAUCUUUGAAUGGUUCAACAACAUGUCUUGCAGCAUACAUGUGCAUACAAUGUGCCUGGUCGUCCUUGGGUUAAGGACACUGAUAGGCUGAUAGGUCAGCACCAAUGCAUGUACAGUUGUAAUAUCCCAAUGAAUGCAUACCCAGGUAACAAAUGAAUCUGGCUUGCUUCACUGUCCAAAUUAUAUGAAAGAAUAAUGUGAGGCUAUAUUCUUGCCUUGUCUGUAUGAUGCUCCAUGGUAAUGUCACAUUUUCCAGCAAUCACAUCCCAAAUUUUGACUUGUUUGUCGGCACUAGCACUGGCAAGGAUGUUCCUGUAUUUAUUUCAAUACUUAUUAGCUAUCGGACCAAUCCAUCAAUGUUAGCAGAUAGAACAGAACUAGAUCGUAUGAGAUUCCCCAAACCUGAAAUGCUUGUUCCAUGCAAGACCAAGGACAGAAUCAGUGUGACUGCCUUCUUUGUAUUUAAUUGACACCUGACAAAAGAAGUUGCAGGAUUGGUGAGAAAAAACAAGAAAAAUAAAUAUACUUUCUCAAGUCAUAUCACAUUAUGCCUGGGUUUUGAAAUGAUGAUACUGCUCAAGGAGGAAUGGUAACAUAAAGGAACAGUGAAAAAAAUCAAAACAACCCCAUAACAGAUAUCCAUGAUACUGUCUUCAAUCAUAGAAACAAAAUGCAAAAGCAAGGUACAAGAACAACCAUUAAGAUGGCCAGUUCCAAGAUGUUUCAGGUUGCAUUCUAAUGAUAAAAGAUGUGAGUAGAGGACCUAGCAAGGUGCAGGCCAUCCAGCAUAUUGAUGUAUAUUUUUUUUUUAAAAAAAGAAGGUAAAAAAAAGAAAAAAGGAAUAUUUUUUCCUUUGCCAGGGCUGGUUCACACAUGCAGCAUAUCUAACACCUGCCAAUUAUAGACACCACUAUAAAGGUGUCAAUGCUUUUCUGAAGCUACCUUAUUUCUGAAACUCCCUAAGAUAAGAUAAGAUAAGUUUUAACUUUAUUCAUUCUUCUAAUUCAUAGCCGCCUUUUGAACACAUAAACAAUAAAAGGUGCAAAGAACAUUAAAGGAACUCUAGAAUGCACCUUUUUCCCUUUUUUCUUCUUUUUCUCUUCAGUGCCACCUAAUACCACAGCUGGUUGCACUUCAUCAAUCUGAGAACAUCAGAAAAUGUAAGAGAUUCUAAAACAAUCUCUGCCUAAAAAAGUCAAUGUAAUUGUAAUUUUAUGUGAUGUUCCACAUACAAUGUCAAGGUUCCAUAUUUCAAUGGCAGGUUCCAUUGACCCAACAGCUAUAAAAUUCCCUGCAAAAACACAAAUAUCAAAAGAGGUAGUAAGGCAUAAGCUUCUGCGAGAAAACCAACCCUCAUGCACCACUUUCAAAUUUCAUAGCUACAUUGAAACCAGAUGUCUCAAAAAAUGGAAGUGAGCCUAGAAACUGGGAAUAUACUGGAGAAGCUGGAAUCUGCAAGAAAAACAAGUUCGGAGAAGAGCGUAUAAGCUAUCAUACCUUUUUCUCCCCCUUUAAGUGGACAAUCAAGCCAUGCUGUGCAAAGGGGAAAUGCUGCGAGGGGAACCUCAUGGUGAACGUAUAUGUUUGAAUCACCAUCACUUGUUUCAUCCAAUAUCCAAACCUGCAUGCACAAUUGGCACUUCGUGUCAGAAGAGAGAGAGAGAGAGAGAAUUGCAGAGCUUCCCAACUAACAAUUACAUGCCUCGAGGUUACUAAAUUCAUCCUUGUUGCAUGCACAAACAAUGACUGCAUCCUUUGGUUUGAUAGCCAUGUCUUCAAGAUCUUCAGAAUCAUCACCCUAAAAGAGUCGGUGCAAAAAUAAGUAACCAAAUACCAAGAGAAGCCAACUACAGCAUAACAAAGUAGUCAAACUUACAUCUUCAUCCUUGAUGUACGGGUCCAUGCUAUUACUUGGGUAGUAAAGGUCCCCGAGUCCUGUGCUGAACAACUCAAUACCUGCGUGAUCAGAUGCAUCCUUAGUUGCACAUCCAAUGUGAAUUAAAAUUCAAGGCAUGUGACCAGAAAAUGAUGUGAAUCAAAAGGGAAAAAAAAAAAGCCGAAAAAAUAUUUAUGCAAGUGAUUGUUAUUCGCUGGUUUAAUAAUUCCAUCCUAACCUCCCAAACUAAACCAGCUUGGCGACCAAUGACCCUCUUAUUUUCUACAAAAUGUAUCAGAUAAAAAAAAAAGAAGAUAAAAGAAAACGAAAAAGAAAAAUGGAUUCUUUGUAGAUGCAUAUGUACCAUCAUCCUCAUCAUCAUAGUUGUCCAUAUCAAGUUCCUGCAGACCAUCUGCUAAGUCAUCAAAUUUGGUCUCUGACUUGUUAACUUUGGAACUUCUGCCAUGUGCAUUGGCUACAGCUAAUGCUUGGCUUACUUCACCGGUCUGCUUGGCAGCAUCAACAUCCAUUUCGUGGCCAUCUUCCUCGCUGCCACUAUCUUCUCCACUGGACAAACAAAGAACAUAAAAAACGAUCACACUAAUAAACAACCCAGAAAUUUGACAGUAUAACUAGAACACGAUGGCUGACACAACAGUCAUGUUAAACUCGGGUUCAUAAAAUAAAAGCAAUAAUCACAAAAUCCAGAACCAGAGAUUGAUACAUUCAUCACACAAAAACAUGUACAACCAGAUAUCAAUUUGCAUAACUCGAAGACUGAUACAACCCAAUACAAUACCAAAACUUCACCAAGUUCACAUAACCCCUAUAUCCAUUAACCCUUCGUAACAGAGAUUUAAAUUUUGUUUUUUCAUCAAAUGGGUCUCAAAAACUCAAACCCAAUCACACUUUACUAUAAAAUCAACACCUCCAAAUUAACCUCCUGAUUUAAAACUCAGCUAUUUUAGCACUCAGAUAAUCAACAUUACAAUGCUCCAUUAAGCUCUCCCAUUCAAUUAUUAACAGAAUUGAAAAUACACAAAAAGUGAAUCAGCCAACAAACCGUAUAGCAGAAAAACCAUACGUUCAACAACUAAUAGCCAUUGAAACACAAAAAGAAGUAAACUUUUUUGAAAGAAAAAGGGAGAAAAUAGUAGCUUACCUUCUCUCUAAAUCACUAGCUUUGAUCAGCUCUUCAAUUUCCUCUUUUGAAGGUGGGUCUGCUACACUUGGUACAGACUUUGCAACCCCUUUGGGUACCCACGAAACUGCUGCAAUCAUUAUUCCUCUUAAAAAGCAAAAAUUUAUAAAUUUCAAAUAUUGGAAACUUGAAACUUGGAAUUCAAAAAAAAUAAAUUUAAAAAUUUGGAAUUCAAUAAAAAUAAAUGUAUAGGUUUGAAAUUAAUCCUUUGAAAAUUCAUUAACCCUGUUUAUUUAAACAAAUCCAAUUUUAAACAUGGAUUUUUAAAAACUGAUCCACAAAUACAAGGCAAGGAUUUGUUAAUAUCUAAAAAACUUGAAGACAACUUCUUUGCAUGUGAUUUCCACUUUUUCUCACUUUAAUACAGAACUCUAGAUCUCUUUAAGAUAUCUUCAUUACCAGCUUAAAUAACCCAUAUUCCCAGAAUCCAUAUUCCCAGAAUAUUCCAUAUUCCCAGAAUCCACAGAAUACAAAAAAAAUAAUAAUCAGCAUGCAAUUGAUCUUCACAAAUCAGGAACCCUACCAGCUUAAUUAACCUAGAAAAGAACACAUAUCACAAAUCAGGAACCUUACAAAAUUUGAUGGAAAAAACUCGUUAUUCAUCAACAGAACCUUAUCCAAAAAUAACCUAGACAUUAUAAUUAAAAUAAAUUGGUAAAUUAAUCAUCCCUACGCUAACUUUAUCCAUAUUCCCAGAAUCCACAGAAUACAAAAAAAAUAUUAAUCACAGGAUGCAAUUCAUCUUCACAAAUCAGGAACCUUACCAGCUUAAUUAACCAACAAAAGAACACAUAUCACAAAUCACGAACCUUACAAAAUUUGAUGGAAAAAAUUCCUUAUUCAACAACAGAACCUUAUCCAAAAAUAACCUAGACAUUAUAAUUAAAAUAAAUUGGUAAAUUAAUCAUCCCUACGCUAACUUUAUCCAUAUUCCCAGAAUCCACAGAAUACAAAAAAAAUAUUAAUCACAGGAUGCAAUUCAUCUUCACAAAUCAGGAACCCUACCAGCUUAAUUAACCCAGAAAAGAACACAUAUCACAAAUCAGGAACCUUACAAAAUUUGAUGGAAAAAACUCGUUAUUCAUCAACAGAACCUUAUCAAAAAAUAACCUAGACAUUAUAAUUAAAAUAAAUUGGUAAAUUAAUCAUCCCUACGCUAACUUUAUCCAUAUUCCCAGAAUCCACAGAAUACAAAAAAAAUAUUAAUCACAGGAUGCAAUUCAUCUUCACAAAUCAGGAACCUUACCAGCUUAAUUAACCUAGAAAAGAACACAUCACAAAUCAGGAACCUUACAAAAUUUGAUGGAAAAAACUCCUUAUUCAACAACAGAACCUUAUCCAAAAAUAACCUAGACAUUAUAAUGAAAAUAAAUUGGUAAAUUAAUCAUCCCUACGCUAACUUUAUCCAUAUUCCCAGAAUCCACAGAAUACAAAAAAAAUAUUAAUCACAGGAUGCAAUUCAUCUUCACAAAUCAGGAACCUUACCAGCUUAAUUAACCCAGAAAAGAACACAUCACAAAUCAGGAACCUUACAAAAUUUGAAGGAAAAAACUCCUUACUCAACAACAGAACCUUAUCCAAAAAUAACCUAGACAUUAUAAUUAAAAUAAAUUGGUAAAUUAAUCAUCCCUACGCUAACUUUAUCCAUAUUCCCAGAAUCCACAGAAUACAAAAAAAAUAUUAAUCACAGGAUGCAAUUGAUCUUCACAAAUCAGGAACCUUCCCAGCUUAAUUAACCCACAAAAGAACACAUAUCACAAAUCAGGAACCUUACAAAAUUUGAUCGAAAAAACUCGUUAUUCAUCAACAGAACCUUAUCCAAAAAUAACCUUAUCCAAUUUUAAACAUGGAUUUUUAAAAACUGAUCCAGAAAUACAUGGCAAGGAUUAUUGUUAAUAUCUAAAAAACUUGAAGACAACUUCUUUGCUUGUGAUUUCUUCUCUUUUUCUCACUUUAAUACAGAACUCUAGAUCUCUUUAAGAUAUCUUCAUUACCAGCUUAAAUAACCCAGAAAAGAACACAUAUCACAAAUCACGAACCUUACAAAAUUUGAUGGAAAAAACUCCUUAUUCAACAACAGAACCUUAUCCAAAAAUAACCUAGACAUUAUAAUGAAAAUAAAUUGGUAAAUUAAUCAUCCCUACGCUAACUUUAUCCAUAUUCCCAGAAUCCACAGAAUACAAAAAAAAUAUUAAUCACAGGAUGCAAUUCAUCUUCACAAAUCAGGAACCUUACCAGCUUAAUUAACCCAGAAAAGAACACAUCACAAAUCAGGAACCAUACAAAAUUUGAUGGAAAAAAUUCCUUAUUCAACAACAGAACCUUAUCAAAAAAUAACCUAGACAUUAUAAUUAAAAAAAUUGGUAAAUUAAUCAUCCCUACGCUAACUUUAUCCAUAUUCCCAUAAUCCACAGAAUACAAAAAAAAUAUUCAUCACUGGAUGCAAUUCAUCUUCACAAAUCAGGAACCUUACCAGCUUAAUUAACCUACAAAAGAACACAUAUCACAAAUCAGGAACCUUACAAAAUUUGAUAGAAAAAACUCGUCAUUCAUCAACAGAACCUUAUCCAAAAAUAACCUUAUCCAAUUUUAAACAUGGAUUUUUAAAAACUGAUCCAGAAAUACAUGGCAAGGCUUAUUGUUAAUAUCUAAAAAACUUGAAGACAACUUCUUUGCUUGUGAUUUCUUCUCUUUUUCUCACUUUAAUACAGAACUCUAGAUCUCUUUAAGAUAUCUUCAUUACCAGCUUAAUUAACCCAAAAAAGAACACAUAUCACAAAUCAGGAACCUUACAAAAUUUGAUAGAAAAAACUCCUUAUUCAUCAACAGAACCUUAUCCAAAAAUAACCUAGACAUUAUAAUGAAAAUAAAUUGGUAAAUUAAUCAUCCCUACGCUAACUUUAUCCAUAUUCCCAGAAUCCACAGAAUACAAAAAAAAUAUUCAUCACAGGAUGCAAUUCAUCUUCACAAAUCAGGAACCUUACCAGCUUAAUUAACCCAGAAAAGAACACAUCACAAAUCAGGAGCCAUACAAAAUUUGAUGGAAAAAAUUCCUUAUUCAACAACAGAACCUUAUCCAAAAAUAACCUAGACAUUAUAAUUAAAAUAAAUUGGUAAAUUAAUCAUCCCUACGCUAACUUUAUCCAUAUUCCCAUAAUCCACAGAAUACAAAAAAAAUAUUCAUCACUGGAUGCAAUUCAUCUUCACAAAUCAGGAACCUUACCAGCUUAAUUAACCCACAAAAGAACACAUAUCACAAAUCAGGAACCUUACAAAAUUUGAUAGAAAAAACUCGUCAUUCAUCAACAGAACCUUAUCCAAAAAUAACCUUAUCCAAUUUUAAACAUGGAUUUUUAAAAACUGAUCCAGAAAUACAUGGCAAGGAUUAUUGUUAAUAUCUAAAAAACUUGAAGACAACUUCUUUGCUUGUGAUUUCUUCUCUUUUUCUCACUUUAAUACAGAACUCUAGAUCUCUUUAAGAUAUCUUCAUUACCAGCUUAAUUAACCCAGAAAAGAACACAUAUCACAAAUCAGGAACCUUACAAAAUUUGAUAGAAAAAACUCGUUAUUCAUCAACGAACCUUAUCCAAAAAUAACCUAGACAUUAUAAUUAAAAUAAAUUGGUAAAUUAAUCAUCCCUACGCUAACUUUAUCCAUAUUCCCAUAAUCCACAGAAUACAAAAAAAAUAUUCAUCACUGGAUGCAAUUGAUCUUCACAAAUCAGGAACCUUACCAGCUUAAUUAACCCACAAAAGAACACAUAUCACAAAUCAGGAACCUUACAAAAUUUGAUAGAAAAAACUCGUCAUUCAUCAACAGAACCUUAUCCAAAAAUAACCUUAUCCAAUUUUAAACAUGGAUUUUUAAAAACUGAUCCAGAAAUACAUGGCAAGGAUUAUUGUUAAUAUCUAAAAAACUUGAAGACAACUUCUUUGCUUGUGAUUUCUUCUCUUUUUCUCACUUUAAUACAGAACUCUAGAUCUCUUUAAGAUAUCUUCAUUACCAGCUUAAUUAAACCAAAAAAGAACACAUAUCACAAAUCAGGAACCUUACAAAAUUUGAUAGAAAAAACUCAUUAUUCAUCAACAGAACCUUAUCCAAAAAUAACCUAGACAUUAUAAUUAAAUUAAAUUGGUAAAUUAAUCAUCCCUACGCUAACUUUAUCCAUAUUCCCAGAAUCCACAGAAUACAAAAAAAAUAUUAAUCACAGCAUGCAAUUGAUCUUCACAAAUCAGGAACCCUACCAGCUUAAUUAACCCAGAAAAGAACACAUAUCACAAAUCAGGAACCUUACAAAAUUUGAUGGAAAAUACUCGUCAUUCAUCAACAGAACCUUAUCCAAAAAUAACCUUAUCCAAUUUUAAACAUGGAUUUUUAAAAACUGAUCCAGAAAUACAUGGCAAGGAUUAUUGUUAAUAUCUAAAAAACUUGAAGACAACUUCUUUGCUUGUGAUUUCUUGCCUUUUUCUCACUUUAAUACAGAACUCUAGAUCUCUUUAAGAUAUCUUCAUUACCAGCUUAAAUAACCCAUAUUCCCAGAAUCCAUAUUCCCAGAAUAUUCCAUAUUCCCAGAAUCCACAGAAUACAAAAAAAAUAUUAAUCACAGCAUGCAAUUGAUCUUCACAAAUCAGGAACCCUACCAGCUUAAUUAACCCAGAAAAGAACACAUAUCACAAAUCAGGAACCUUACAAAAUUUGAUGGAAAAAACUCGUUAUUCAUCAACAGAACCUUAUCCAAAAAUAACCUAGACAUUAUAAUUAAAAUAAAUUGGUAAAUUAAUCAUCCCUACGCUAACUUUAUCCAUAUUCCCAGAAUCCACAGAAUACAAAAAAAAUAUUAAUCACAGGAUGCAAUUCAUCUUCACAAAUCAGGAACCUUACUAGCUUAAUUAACCCACAAAAGAACACAUAUCACAAAUCACGAACCUUACAAAAUUUGAUGGAAAAAACUCGUUAUUCAUCAACAGAACCUUAUCCAAAAAUAACCGAGACAUUAUAAUUAAAAUAAAUUGGUAAAUUAAUCAUCCCUACGCUAACUUUAUCCAUAUUCCCAGAAUCCACAGAAUACAAAAAAAAUAUUAAUCACAGCAUGCAAUUGAUCUUCACAAUGUUGGGUAACCAAAACAUUGUUGGUAAAUUAAUCACAGCUCAAACAAAUACACAUAAUCACAGAGUAUAUGUAAAAAAAAAAAAAAAACAGAGGUUGACAGAAAAAAUAAAUCAUACCUGGUAUCAGUUGUGACAAGAUUCAAGGUCGGGUGUGAGAGAGGGAGGUGACUGGUUUGCUAGAUCUGGACUAUGGAGGUUAGGUGUGCCGGUGUGGUGUGCGCCAUGCCUGUGUGGGAGAGGGAUGUGGCUGAAGUCAGGAGAAUGGAGAUGAAGACGGAUUAAUUUGAUUUUGUUAGAGACUUGAGAAUGAGAUGAGAUCUGUGAAAGUGUGAAUUGUGAGGGUUAAGGGAGCGAGGCUUGAAGGAGCGGCUUCUGUGGUCAGGACGGCGCUAGGGUUAAGAAAAUUAGAGAGAAUUUUUUUUUUAUUUAUAGUACUCCCUUAACUGAACCAGUUCGGUUCGGUUAAGGUUUUUUCGGUUUGAGGUUUCUGAAACUGGAAUUGAACCGAACUUUUUUUAAAAUAAUAAUCUGUUUAAUUGAUUUUUUUUUUCGUUUGGUUUUUUCAAUUAUUUUUUUUGAAUUUAUCGAAUUAUCUUGAGCUGGCUAAUAAUCUAGCUUUACUGUUCACCGCAUGUUUUUUUUUUUCAAAAUUGUCAUUUUUUACAUUUGUUUUUGUUUUUUUCAGAAUUAUUUUUGUUAAUUUUAUUCUUUUACUGUUGAGCUAAUUGAAAAUUUAGUUUUUUUGUUUUUUUCUUUAAAACACUGUAGCUUUCCCCGCGUGUUUUUUUUUUCCACUUUUGUUUCCUUUUUUUUACAUGUUUUUUUCCAAAAUUGACUUCUUUUUUAUUUGUUUUGAAAAUAGUCUUUGUCUGUUUUUUUUAUAUAUUGAGCUGGUUGAAAACUUAGAUUUGUAGCUUUUUAAAAAAAAUAAAUAACACUAUGGAUUACUACAGUGUUUCCCUUACAUGGUUUUUGUUUGCUGCGGUGUUUCCCCCACAUGUUUUUUUUAAAUUAUCUUUGUCGAAUUUAUUUUUUCAAUAUUGAGUUGGUUGACAAUUUGGCUUUAGCUUUCCCCAUGUUUUUUUUUUUUGUUUUUUUAAUUUUUUUUCCAAAAUUGUCUUUCUUCUUUAUUUUUUUUUUCAUAAUUAUUUUUGUUGAUUUUAUUUUUUACUAUUGAGCUGAUUGAGAAUUUAGUUUUUUAAUUUUUUUUUCCUUAAAACACUAGAUUACUACAGUGUUUCUUUACAUAGUUUUUUAUUAAAUAUUUUUUUUUCAGAAUUAUCUUUGUCGAUUUUAAUUUUUUCAUACUAAGUUGAUUGAGAAUUUAGCUUUGUAGUUAUUUAAAACACUAUAGAUUGUUAUAGUGUUUUCCCAUAUGAUUUUUGCCUUGCUACAAUGUUUCCCCACAUGUUUUUUUUAUCGAUGUUUUUUUUCCAAAUUUAUUUUUGUCAAAUUUAUUUCUUUUAUACUGAACCGAUUGACAAUUUAGCUUUUUUUCCUUAAAACAUAGUUGAUUGCCACAAUGUUUUCUCAUAUGAUUUUUUUUGUUAUGUUUUUUUUUUAAAAAUUAUCUUUGUCGUUUUUAUUGUUUUUAAUAUUGAGCUGGUUAAAAAUUACAACUGUAGAUUUUCUCAUAAAACACUAUAAAUUGUUUCCUUGCAUGUUUUUUUUCCUGUUGUUUUCUUUUAUAUUUGUCAAAAUUAUCUUUGUUGAUUUUUUUUAAUAUUGAGUUAGUUGAGAAUUAUAGUUGUAUAUUUCCUCACAAAACACUAUAGAUUGCUACAGUUUUUUCUUAAAUGAUUUUAAUAUUGAGCUGGUUGAAAAUUUAGCUUCAACUUUGCCCACAAGUUUUUUUUCCAUUUUUUUAUUAUUUGUUUUUUGCUUUUAUUUCUUCCAAAAUUGUCAUCUUCUUUUUUUUCAUUUUUUUUGUGUGUUUUUUUUUAUAAUUGUUUUUGUCGAUUUUGUUUUUUUAAUAUUGAGCUGGUUGAUAAUAUAGUUUUGUAGUUUUUUCCUUUAAAAUAUUAUGGAUGAUAACAUUUUUUUUUAUAUGAUUUUUUUCACAAAUCCAUGAUAAUGCAUAAGCAUGCCACACCUUUUACUAAUAUAUUUACUUAUUAAUAUAUUAUAUUAUUAUCAUUAUUAUAUUAUAAUAAUAAAUUAUUAUUAUAUUGUAUUAUAUUAUAUUAUAUAACUAUUUUUUCCUUUUUUUCCUUUUUAUUUUUUUUUUUUUUUUUUUGUUUAAUUUAGUUUGUUAAUGUUAAAUUUUUUUUAUUUAGUUAUCAGAUUUUCAUGAUACGGAUCUCGGGUUUGUUGGGUUAACCUGAUUUGACGAGUUAUUUUUUUCAUUUAGUUUAGUUUGUUAAAGUUAAUUUUCUUUCUAUUUAAUUAUCAGACUUUCAUACUUUCAUGACACGUAUCCUGGGCUUGACGGGUUAACUUGGUUUAAUGGGUUAACCCAGUUAAUUCUGGGUAAACCCGUCAUUUUUUUUUCUAUUUAGUUAUUAAAAUUUCAUGACGUCAAUCUCAUGUUUUACGAGAUAACCUAGUUUAAAGGGUUAACUCAAGUAAUUCAAUUUUUUUUCUUUUUCUUCAUUAGUUUUUUCUUUUCUAUUGAUUUUUUUUCUUUGUUUUUUUUUAAUUUAUUUAUUUAAUUAUCAUACUUUUAUGACACGACCUUAUAGCUAGACCCACGUCCAAUAUUCUUGGGUCCGGUGUUGCAGUCAGGCUCACUUAAACUUAGGUCAUGCAAGUUUAAUUUUAUUAUUAAUAUUAUAAAUAUUACUUUUAGGUCAGGCGUUGCAGCCAAAUCCAAGAUUAUUAAGUAUGGGUUUACAGAAAAAUCCAAAAUUUUUAAAUUUUUAUUUUUUAAAAUAUUUUUUAUGCAAAAAAAAUGACUCGCGGCAUCGCGCGGGUCAUGUACUAGUAUAUAUUGAAAGGUAAGUGAGGAUCAAGUUUUCCUCUUUCGUUCCAUUGUUUAUUGUAUUCUUUUUCUUUUUUUAGCUAGCACUCGGUGCAUGGGUUCUAAGAUUUCAGAGUGUAGUUUUUUUUUUUCUCGUAUUUAUAUUGAAAUGUGUUUAUUUAUAUUUUUGUAACGAUAUUAUAUGCUUUAAUACUUGUCUUAUUUUCUCUUUGAUAGGAUUUGUAACAAAGAAAAAUGAUAUUUUGCUAUUAAUAAGAUUUUUUUUUAAGCAGGAUGAUUUCUCGAAUGCUAGUCAAGUUCUAUAUUUCAAAAGGCAUGUUUUAAUGUUAAACCUUGAGAAAUAAUUUAUAAUGUUGUUUGUUUUUAAAAUAAAAAAGAAACUUUCUAAGGUUUUUUUAUAUAUAUAGAAAAGGUAAAAAGUUAUUUACCUAUUAGGUGGUUCAAGCAAUUAUCUAAAAGCUCAUUAAGUACCGAUUUCUAAUUAUAUUUAUAAAAAUCUACUCGAGACAACACUCGAGUUACGUAUUAAAAUGAUAAAUCUUAAUUGUUUUUUAAAAAAUAAUUAAAUUUUAGAUGUUUUCAUUUAAAUUUUUUAAAUAAAUGAAUGAGUUUUGAUGGAGUUUUAUCUACAUCUACCAAGUAACACAUCGAACUAGGCUUUUAUCAAAUCAAACCAAGUCAAUUUCUUUCUCUAUUUACUCUCAAACCCGAUUUAGGUGUUAAAGCUGCUGCUCGUCUAGCAGUUUCUGCCAGAUUUUUCGUUACUUUUUGUCUGGUUCUUUUUAAAGAACAAACAUGUUUCCGAAUUGAACCAGCCACUUGGGUUCGGGUCCAGUAACCAUGAUUGCAUCUCAAAUUUGAUGCAAGCUCAUGAAAGUUGAAAAAACAGAGUCCGUGGGCGAGCUAGCUAGCUAGCUAGUGUCCCCCACAGCUCCACCAGCACUCAUGAAUCUGGCACCAUGCAUGUGCCAUUUGUACGGCUACAAGAUUGCACAAUAUACAGUAUAGUACCUAGCAGAUCGCUACUCUUUUUCCAAGAAAAUAAUGAAAUGUUGUCAGCCUGUCAGGUUAGCCAUGACACUUGCAUUUAUGGUCCAUUAAAAAAUAUAACUAACAAACUAAUCAAAAUUAAAACCAAAACAAAAUCAACCAUUUUAAAGAAUGAAACUAACGUGAUUAAGAUGUAAAGCCAUGAGGAUUGAUCUAGCUCUUUUCUUUAAAAAAUAAAAUAUAAUAUUGUUUUUUUUAUAAAAAAAAAACUAAUGAUUUUUUUAUUAAUUUUAAACAGAUUAACCAAGUCAUUGAUUAACUUAUAAUUUUUUUAUUGAUUAUACUAAAUCAACUCCAUUUUUCAUAAAUAAUGUGAUGAACAUCACUGAGAAUAAUCGUAGUAGCAAGCUUUAAAAUAAUUAUGAAAACUUACAUUCUCCUUUGUGUGAUUUAAUUUUGGCUUUGAACUGAUAAAACUUGCCACCCAGUAAUUAUCAUUUACUCCACAUGAACAUGCAAGACCAAGAGCUUUAUGAUAUUUGCACUUUUUUCCUUUUUCAAUCUUUUUUUUUCCUCCAAUAUUUUAAUUGAAAUAAUUUCUUCCGGUGUGCAAUUCAGUCUAUAAAUUCCAUUACCAAUACCCACAGAAACCUCUUCUCAUUUCUUAUCCUCAUCUUCCCAGUAGAAAGAUUCUCAGCCUUCAUUUGCUUCUUCUCUACCUAUACAUCAUCCUUUAUAGAUAAGCUUGAUAAGGUUAUAGUUACAUAUAUUUUCUUUGCUCAUACAAAUACACAACCCAGUUCUCAAAAUCCGUGUCUGUCUUCAUCAUUUCUUCUAUUUCUCUCUUGUUUUAUGUACUGUUUUUUUUAUGCUGAACACAUCUUUUCUUGAUGUUUGAGAAUAGCAAGUGUUCAUGACUCCUGUACUCAGUGAAAUCCUCCUUUCUGGUUUUACGAUAAACUCCACUCUUAGGCGCGGGACUCACCUUGUUCAAUCAUUCUCUGUUGUCUUCCUCUACUGGUUCUAUGUUUUCUCAUGAACUCGAUUAGCCCCUCUGAAACCCCAUAGAGCCAUCAUCUUUAAUUACCAUCUUAAUCAUCCUGAAAUAAUCAUUUUCUUGGUCCCGUGCGUUCUCUUUUAUUAAGCAUAGUCCAGGGUUAAUUACAG